CAAACUCGUCGAGUGUCAGAGUGUUUAUGCACGAGAAGGUGAUGCUGUCCGUUGGCAGUUGGAAGAUACGCCAAGUAUCGCGCCAAGGGUGUCAAACAUGAAGGGUGAUACAUUUUAAAUGUAGCAGAUGCGUCGCAUGCGUUGCGUUGGAAAUGAUGACAAAUGUUGGAAAUGUUGAAAUUGUCUGCUAUUUCCCAGCGUCAACAGUGAAGUCUCAAGUGUAAAAGUUGCAUCUUUAAAAGCUCAGACAGCCAGUAGGAGAAAUCCAAACUGAAACAAUUAUUGCCCUAUUGUUGGGUGAUAUCAACUUCGCUGGUGGACCAUACAAUGUUCAACGAAGUGCACGAAGGGAUGCAUAUUUAGAUAGAUACGAAGCCAUCGCAAUUUGGAUUCCCAGUAUAGUGCGCACAUCCUUUCUGGAUUCUCCAUAUCACAGCGACAGUUUGCCUAGGCAGCAACCAUUGUGUCAAUCUUAAAAGCAUAGGCUCUUAGUUUGAGUAUAUAAAUAUGCAAGGAUUAUGCUUCUGAUGACACUUUGACGUGAGCUGAAACUCGCACCAAACGACCAUGUUGCGUGUACGGGAGAAAACUCGAGAUGUGGACUAUAAAUUUGCCAGCUUUAGAGCGUCCCGAAAUGCAUUGUAUGACAUAAAUGCACCACUUUAGCUGUAGGUGCCUAGAUGGGCAUCUCAAUGUCAGCACAACACCGCAAAAGUGACCAUCCGUUCCAUGAUAACAAACCCAAUGUCAGCCUAUAAGUCAACUAAAGGAAAAUGGGAACUGUUCCACUUUUGAAAAGAAUCUUUCGGUUGCAAGAAGCUUGCAAACACACAUUAAAGGUAAGGGAAUUGCUAAAACAGGUUGAAUGCAUACUGGUGUUUUUAAAAAGCUUAUUUACAGACAAAGAUGAAGAUGUAGAUUAUUGUAAGAUAUGAAAAUUUAAAAUGUAAUGUGCUGAAAUAGUCAUGUA